AAAGGACAAAGAAGGAAGGACCCAUGCCACAAGCACGUCCUAGACCAAUAACUGAACAAAGCUAAAGUUAAACAGCUACCACCACGACCAAAGAUCGUGGUCU
rnacentral:rRNA from 1 species